GAUGAACGCUGGCGGCGUGCUUAACACAUGCAAGUCGAACGGAAAGGCCGAAGCUUGCUUCGGUACUCGAGUGGCGAACGGGUGAGUAACACGUGGGUGAUCUGCCCUGUACUUCGGGAUAAGCUUGGGAAACUGGGUCUAAUACCGGAUAUGACGAUCUCUUGGAUGGGGUUGUGGAAAGCUUUUGCGGUAUGGGAUGAGCUCGCGGCCUAUCAGCUUGUUGGUGGGGUAAUGGCCUACCAAGGCGUCGACGGGUAGCCGGCCUGAGAGGGUGUACGGCCACAUUGGGACUGAGAUACGGCCCAGACUCCUACGGGAGGCAGCAAUGGGGAAUAUUGCACAAUGGGCGCAGGCCUGAUGCAGCGACGCCGCGUGGGGGAUGACGGCCUUCGGGUUGUAAACUCCUUUCGCAAUCGACGAAGCCUUUUGGUGACGGUAGGUUGAGAAGAAGCACCGGCUAACUACGUG
rnacentral:rRNA from 1 species